ACACAUCAGGGUCAAAGGAAAAGCAGUCUUAAUUCAAUAAUCCUGCGUCAGAGUUUAUUGGUUUUGAAUCGGGUUUCUCUAGAUAUUAAUGCUGUCGGCUCAUUAAACUUAUAGAGCGUCUCUUACGGUUGUCAGUCGAUUAGAGUAGUAAUUAGUGAAGCGUCUUCCUGGUUACCGAAUAAUUAAGGAGAAAUAAGAUCACGUCAGAAGCGUCUUCGGUGAUUAUAACUGGUUUGUUUGCAUGAUUUAAAGUUAUUUUUGCAUCCAUGAUCGGAAUAAUUGAGCUAGGGUGGACUUAAUUGAUUGCUGGAAUUCUUUUAUUAAUUGUUGGAAUUUUUAUUCAUCUUUUAGCUAUUGGAAAAAUUGGUUUAUUUGGGUUUUAUUUAUUUAAUUUUAAGUUUAGUAUUUUCUAUAUUUUCUUCCCAAAAUUUCGUGGGUUACUUGCAGGCUUUAAUUAGAUAAAUUCUCGCCAGUCCCUUGGGAGACGAUCUUGCUUACUGCUAUCUGCGCAGUGUGGGCAUACCGGCUGACUGCCGGAUAUUUUUGGUGUAAAACGACGCACCAAAUUUUGGCGCCGUUGCCGGGGAUUUGGUUUUAAGCAGGAUUUUACUGAUUUCAGUCUGUCUUUUAUUUUUAGUUAUUUUAUUUUUAGUUUAUGCCCCGUUCUUCUCGUACAGGCAUAUUAGUUUUUGAUCCAGAAAUCGAGAAAACCGCACGAAAGUUAAAGAAGCAAGCUAAGGAGUGGAAAAAGAGAUCAAAUUCUGCCCCAUCAAGUCUUGAGGAACAACCAAAAAUAGAAGUUCCAAUGGAUGACCG
rnacentral:lncRNA from 1 species